rnacentral:lncRNA from 1 species
GUCUAUUACACUGAUCUGUCUUAGCGAAUGCAGAGGUUAAUAUGUAGUAUUUAACGCGUGGAAGAGUCUAGGAACCAUGGUAGACCUUUGGAACGAACUCACUGUGGUGACUGGUCGUUUCACUUAGGCUCAAAAAUUAGAACUAGUUCAGUAAAUGGAGUAUUCGAUGAUCACGAUUUUUGAAAUAAAUCAAGUACAGAACAGGAAAACAAUCGGAGAUGACAAAAAAGAGAGAAAAAAUCGUACAGUACCAUACUUACAGUGUUCAAACGAAUAUGAUGAUUAGUUAAAGACACUGCUUUGAACAAGACCAUGAUGGAAGAAUAAGAACUG